rnacentral:rRNA from 1 species
GACGAACGCUGGCGGCGUGCCUAAUACAUGCAAGUCGAGCGGACCCUUCGGGGUCAGCGGCGGACGGGUGAGUAACACGUGGGUAAUCUGCCCAACUGACUGGAAUAACGCCUGGAAACGGGUGCUAAUGCCGGAUAGGCAGCGAGGAGGCAUCUCCUUGCUGGGAAAGGUGCAACUGCACCGCAGAUGGAGGAGCCCGCGGCGCAUUAGCUAGUUGGUGGGGUAACGGCCUACCAAGGCGACGAUGCGUAGCCGACCUGAGAGGGUGGACGGCCACACUGGGACUGAGACACGGCCCAGACUCCUACGGGAGGCAGCAGUAGGGAAUCUUCCGCAAUGGGCGCAAGCCUGACGGAGCAACGCCGCGUGAGCGAAGAAGGCCUUCGGGUUGUAAAGCUCAGUCACUCGGGAAGAGCGGACGGAGGAGUGGAAAGCCUUCGUCGAGACGGUACCGAGAGAGGAAGCCCCGGCUAACUACGUG